rnacentral:tRNA from 1 species
AUGGGUGUUGCUCAGUGGUAGAGUGCUUGCCUAACAUGCAGGAGGCCGUGGGUUCCAUCCCCAGCACUAAAA